UGGGGAAUAUUGGACAAUGGGCGAAAGCCUGAUCCAGCCAUGCCGCGUGUGUGAAGAAGGUCUUCGGAUUGUAAAGCACUUUAAGUUGGGAGGAAGGGCAUUAACCUAAUACGUUAGUGUUUUGACGUUACCGACAGAAUACGCACCGGCUAACUCUGUGCCAGCAGCCGCGGUAAUACAGAGGGUGCAAGCGUUAAUCGGAAUUACUGGGCGUAAAGCGCGCGUAGGUGGUUUGUUAAGUUGGAUGUGAAAUCCCCGGGCUCAACCUGGGAACUGCAUUCAAAACUGACUGACUAGAGUAUGGUAGAGGGUGGUGGAAUUUCCUGUGUAGCGGUGAAAUGCGUAGAUAUAGGAAGGAACACCAGUGGCGAAGGCGACCACCUGGACUAAUACUGACACUGAGGUGCGAAAGCGUGGGGAGCAAACA
rnacentral:rRNA from 1 species